AAUGUUCCUUGGUCCAUUCCUAUGUGCAGUGAAGGUUUGGGAACUACUGCUCUAGGCCAAGACUCCUCAAACGUGAAUGUGAGGAUGAGUCAGCUGGGGGUCACAAUUUCUUAUUCACUAGACCUUGAUGGUUCCGGGGUCUGCAUGUCUCGCAGAUUUACAAGUGCCACUGAUGCUAGCUGAAUGAGAAGAGCUCUGUCACAUCUCUCUGGUGGUUAUGGACCUUGGCUCACAAAAGAAGCUCCAAGCUGCUUCUUGUCUUGCAAAUUUGCAGGAAUCCUUCCUUCCUAACAUCAUUUUGUUUUCUGAGUCAGAUUUUCUUGGGAACCACUCUCCACACAGAAUCUCUGUGAGACGUCACUGACUGACACAUGGGGAGACACAGAAGGUCACCAUCUCUCUGUGCAAGUAUGUCCUCAGCCAAAAACAGACUUCCAGGGAGUGUGAGAGGCAGAUAUUUGGCUCAGACUCAAUGAAAGGGACCUGGAGAGAAAAGGGGCUGCUCCUAAAUGACACCAAGAGAGGACGGUAACUAAAGACUCCAGGCAUAGGAAAAUGGAACAACUGGUAAUAAAGGAGACACGUGGAAGAGCGAAAUAAAAAUGCAUCUUUAUAAUGGUUCCAGGGCCUGGGGCAGAUUGAACCUUUUGCUCCCUCCUAAAUGUCAUACAUGACUGGAUUUUUAUUGCAAGAAUUAUCAAAGGCUAUGUCACCAGCACAAGGCAACAGGAGACUACAGCUCCAGGAUGCUGCAUGCUACACCUGGAAGUACAUGGAUAAGACGAGUGUAUGUUCUCAUAUCCAAAGAUUCAGACUUACUCAAUGCCCUAAAGAAUUCUUAGUAAUCACAGUCAAGUAAAGAUAUCAUCCUGUCACAUGAAAAGCUUAGCUUUCUUUGGAUUAGCUUCAACAUGUCUAAGUAUGUACAUCAAAAUAACCAACAGAGUAUGAAAAUACACAAGGAUUUGCUCAAUCCUAGCUGCACCUGUGUAUCAAAUCGUUUGUUUUAAAAUCAUACUCAAGCCCAGCUUCCCUCACCUUUGGAGAUUUUCUUCUUACUGCUCGGAGGUCCUAUCUGGAUCCUGAGUGCGUGAGUACAUGCCUGUGUACAGGUACAGUACAUGUGAAUGUGUGUGUGUCGGGGGGAGGGUGUGGGUGUGGGUGUUGGUGUGGGUUUGUUGGGAGUAUUUUUUUUUUUUUCUUGCUUUUUAGUUUAGUUCUCUAGGUGCUUAAAGUUCAGUCAGGGCAGAAAAAUUACCAGCCUAAGGCUAAGUAGAUAAUUAUGAUAAAGACUGGUGAAAAGCUCCCUUAUAUCCAGGACAAUGUAUUUUCUAUUUUGCUCUAUUGGGUAUUGAUAUUUAACAGAAUAUAAAAAUGAAAACUUUUCUUGGAAGUUUAUAAAAACUUACACAUAUUUUAAGGCCUUCUUGAAUCUCUCAAAGGCAGAAGAGGGUGACUUAAUUAACCUGACAAAGAUACAUAAGCAGAUUGGAAGAAAUGACUAGGAAAGCACAGUCCAUAGCAGUUGGGUCUAUGUCUGUCAUGUUGAACACUCAUUCUACCCCUAGGAUCUAGGGCAUUUUUUGGAUUAUGGUAGAUGAAUUAAUAAAACACGUUGUCCACUGGAAAGGGACUGUUGUAUGUGGUAAGAAGGUAGAUUUUGCUUAUACGGUAAAUUCUUUGGCCCUUGUGCACUGCAAAUUGUAACUUAACACCAAUCACCUCCUUGUAGUUGCAGCACAGGCCCUAGUUAGCAACUGACAUAGUCACUGUAUCCACACUCACAGUCCUGCCUGGCCACCUGCUUUGUGAUGACAGACAGAUUACCUGUGACACUGCAGGAACCUGAACCACACAGAGAUGACAAUCUGACCAGGCCUCAGGCUUGAGCCUGGAAACUGACCCUUUGUUACUUAUCUCAGGAAUUACUAAUAAGCUCUCAUUUGGCUUCAUUUAAAAACAAGUCAGAAAAUCUCUUAUUUCCUCACUAAGUUCAUUAAGUAUGUACUUUAUGAUUGUCAUGCUUAAAUUUUUGAAAAUUAAGUUUUAAGAAUUAAGGAAUUCUGAGCUUUCUGAUUAUGUUCAUCCAGUCAUCAUAGAACUCAUUUAAGGUGAAAACAUUUGGGCAAAACAGAGAAAAAUAAAAGGCAGGUCAUAAUCAUCAUAUUAAUUCAUUUGUUCAUUCAUUUU